CCGAAUAAAAAUACAAAUUUUCUGAAUAAAAAAUAAAUAUUAUACAAAUCCAAUACUUCAUAUUAACAUAACACAAUUCAUCCCCUCUUCGGUAGGAGCAAAUUCCAUAUGAAUACACAAUAACAGAAAAUGCAGAAUGAAGAUCCUCUGCAAACAAAUGAAUUACAGAAAAAUGAUAAAUCCUUGAACAUUGAAAGAAAAAUACUAGAACCAACGAAAUUAGAAACAAAUAGAAGGAGAAAUUCAAACUAAGAAAAUGGCAAACCAUGCACAAAUCUACGAACGAUUUCCAUAGAAUCAACUAAUUACUGUAGCAGAUCUUGGUGUCGGCUUUCUGCUCUGUCCAAUCGAAAAAAUAGUUCGAAUAGCGGCUAAAAAACGUUGAAGAACAAACUGAGUCAACUAAUUACUGUACCAAAUCCACGCCGCCAACAAGCUGGCGUUGCGCCAUGGCUGCGUCGGAUUUUUUUAGAUGUGCGAGCAGACCCCGACCUCCUUCACCUGCAAGGCCGAAGACGCCUCCCUCCGCGCCGACUGUGGCCAUGGUCCUCUUCUACGACUCAGGCGUCAAGUUCUCGCCGUCCACCGAAGAAGAAAUAGAAUGAUAGAUUAGAGAGAGAGAGAAAGAGUCGGCAAUGGGGGAGUGAAAGUGGGUGAAUGAGGAGUUUUUUUAGGUAUACCAUUUUUCAACUAUUGCCAAUUUACUUGAAUACCCUUAAUUGGAAAUAAAAUGUAAUUCGGAUUUUGAUAAAUACAUUUAAGAUUUAGAUAUUGAUUUUGUUUAAACCGUCUGAUUGAGGGGAUUUAAUGGUGUAGAUUAAUUCUUU
rnacentral:lncRNA from 1 species